rnacentral:RNase_P_RNA from 1 species
UGCGCAGGCUGGGUGACCGCGAGCACAAUGCCGCAAGGCCGUGUUCGAGGAAAGUCCGGGCUCCGCAGGGCAAGGUGCUGGCUAACGGCCAGUGGGGGCAACCCUAAGGAAAGUGCCACAGAAAUGAAGACCGCCAUAAAAUGGCAAGGGUGCAACGGUGGAGUAAGAGCCCACCAGCGGUUAGGUGACUGACCGGCUAGGUAAACCCCACCUGGAGCAAGACCUAAUAGAAGGAAUAUGAUGCGGCCCGCAUCUUCCUUGGGUAGGUCGCUGGAGACGUCGGGCAACCGCCGUCCUAGAUAGAUGGUCACCCUCGACAGAACCCGGCUUACAGGCCUGCGCAUAAG